CAGGAGCCUCAGAUGCAGCCUUGAAUGGAAGCCAGCAUUUGCAUAGCUCUCAUCAGUCACAGGCAUUGAGAAGUCAAAAGAGUACUAGAAAGUACUUUCUGCUCUGAAUUCGGCAAACUUCAUUGUGCCAUGGAAAGCUGGGGAACAGCAGCACAGUUAGAGGAUCAAAAUAAUAUUGGCAAAGAAAAUAUGUCUGUGAAGUACGAUCUUCAUUCAUAAAUCUAAGAUUACUUUUUUACAGAAA
rnacentral:lncRNA from 1 species